UCCUACGGGAGGCAGCAGUGGGGAAUAUUGCACAAUGGGGGAAACCCUGAUGCAGCCAUGCCGCGUGUGUGAAGAGGGCCUUCGGGUUGUAAAGCACUUUCAGUUGUGAGGAAAAGUUAGUAGUUAAUACCUGCUAGCCGUGACGUUAACAACAGAAGAAGCACCGGCUAACUCCGUGCCAGCAGCCGCGGUAAUACGGAGGGUGCGAGCGUUAAUCGGAAUUACUGGGCGUAAAGCGCACGCAGGCGGUUUGUUAAGCUAGAUGUGAAAGCCCCGGGCUCAACCUGGGAUGGUCAUUUAGAACUGGCAGACUAGAGUCUUGGAGAGGGGAGUGGAAUUCCAGGUGUAGCGGUGAAAUGCGUAGAUAUCUGGAGGAACAUCAGUGGCGAAGGCGACUCCCUGGCCAAAGACUGACGCUCAUGUGCGAAAGUGUGGGUAGCGAACAGGAUUAGAUACCCUGGUAGUCCACACCGUAAACGCUGUCUACUAGCUGUGUGUGUCUUUAAGACGUGCGUAGCGAAGCUAACGCGCUAAGUAGACCGCCUGGGGAGUACGGCCGCAAGGUUAAAACUCAAAUGAAUUGACGG
rnacentral:rRNA from 1 species